UUUACCUUCAUUUUCUUUCCUUCUCUGAUUGUAUUUUGAGGAAAACCUCAGACUUUAUAUCAUUCUGUCCAUAAUAUUUCAUCAGUCACGCCUUCCUGAGAACCUUCUAGAUAUACUUACCAUCACGGAGGCAAAAACAGGCAAGGAAAAUUCCCUUCCCUCACAUACCUCAUUGCUGUGAAACUUCAAGCAGAUCUUCUAAAACAUAUAAAGUUGGUGUGUUUAUAAAACAGCUUUGUAUAAAAUAUUUAUAAACAAAUACCCUAGAAUACAAUCUACGCCAGGCACAUUCUCAAGGCUUUCUAUCUCCCUAUAGAUGUAAUCAUCCCAACAACCCAGUUUUAUAGAUGAGAAAGAUGCUGAAGAGAGGUUGAAUAGUUUCGACCAAGAUCACACAGCUACCAAGGUUCCCUGAAAAAAAGACCUUACUGGAAAAGAAUGAGGCUUGAAAAAUAGAGAUAAAAAUGUCAGUCCCAAGCAAACCUAUACUUGCCUUAUCCUGGCUACAGAGUGACCAUCAAGCAAGAGAAUAAUGAUGGCAGUGAAGAUUUUCAAAAGACACCAUCUUUUCCCCAUUGGACAAGAAAACUACAGGACAAAAGCAAGCACUGUGAACAAACACCGUAGCAAACCUCUUCAACCCCUGUUCUUCACAUGUGCCCCUGGUGCUACAAAUUUGUCUCCAUCAUCUUAAAGCAAGUGUAUGCUUACAGUCUUUUGCUUUCUGAGCACUUUUCUAAUUUUCUCCUUGGGUUUACUGCACUUUUUUCACACACAGAAUUUUGAGUAGUAAAUGCUUCUGUUUAUAGUGCAUCCUCCAGCUUCUGGAAGAGGAACCUCUUGAACCUUGCUUCUCCUGGAAGACCUUCUGACUCAAGGUUGUCUUGGCAUAAUUGAUAUUUUGGGCUAGAUAAUCAUGUUUGGGUGGAGAUGUCCUAUAUAUGGUAGGAUUUUUCUCAACUUCUCCGAGCUGUACUGACUAGAUGCCAAUUGCAACUCCUCUCCUGUGAGAAUCAAAAAUGUCUGCAGACAUUGCCAAGUGUACCUAGGAGGACGAAUCUCCCUUGAUGAGUCCUGCUGCUCUAACUGAAUACAAUGCCCUGGUGCCUGCGAGAAACAUGGUACAGUAAGCUCUGUGGGUUUAGAACACAGCCAGCAUAAUAUCCCAGCUUCCAAAGGAAAAGCCCAAGCUGAAAAAGGAAACAAGCUUCAGGAUGAUCAGCUGUGUCAGUUUUCCACUUAGUUGUAAAUUUGGACAGGCUCUGCCGAGUGAAGUACAGAAUGUUUCUCGCCUUGGGCAUUAAUAUUGUAUAAGAAUAAAAGCAACCUGAGAGGCAUUUGUUUUUUGUGGAAAGUGCGUGCAUGGGUGAAUCUCUGCUCAUCAGAUUGUGAAUUAAUGUGGAAGCUAUAAAUAAA
rnacentral:lncRNA from 1 species